CAGAGCUGUCAGACUCCACCGGAAACCAUCUAGACCUUCAUCCACAGGAAGGUUUUAUGAAAUAUUUUUCCCUUCAAAAUCUUCCUUUAGAGUUGCAGAGACCCACCAGCAGCACAAAUGAGGGGAGUUGGUUUUGGCCAGGACCUGAAGGUUAUUCUAAACCACCUCACAUCGCUGCCAGGGGAAGGAACACUCUGGCUUUCGAGAAGUGUGUGGCUUCCAGUCCAAAAAAUGUGGUGGCAUUGUUUGCCAUUGUUCAUUGUCUCAGGGUCCUUGGCUUUAGCCACUGUUUUACUGACCUCUAUCAACAUAGGAUUACAGAGAUUAGUGAAAGGAAUACUUAAAAACUGAAGUGUGGAUUCCAGAGAGGAUUAUCUGGAGAUUACAACACAGGGAACUGACUGGAGGCACUUCACUGUCCUGUUAAGGCCAAGUUGGCAGUAACGUUUAACCCUAGAGGAAGAAUUCAUCACUUAUGUCACUCCAACUGAACCUGUGGCAUCAUAUCAUCAUGUAUCCUGUUCUGAGCUUGACCUGGCCAGGGCUGGCCUCGCACUUGAUGAAAGGCACCACCAUACAGCAUCACCAAAGCAGUUCCUCCCAGUACCAUCCUUCCAGCUGGUUGGAUACUGGGGCCAAGUAACCACUGGGAUUCAGCAAGGCUUUCCUGCAGAAACAGGAUAGCCUUUAUUUGGAGGUGGAGGACAGCAGGAUCAAUUGCCUUAACUUCAGUUGUUAUGCAGAGAUAUAAUUGCCAUCCCAGAAAGGUAAAUGCACACCUAAUUUACAGGCGACUGCAGUUUGUUCCAGAGGUACACAAGCUUGAAAGGGUCUAAGCUGAGGUGCAGACAAACUCUGAGUAUUCCUUCCUGUGGUCCCAUGUGGAGUAAAGACCCUACCAACAAGCUAUGGGUGGGAAGCAACACUACGCAUCUGAGGACCUUUGGAGAAGGUCCAGAGGAGUGGAGCAAGAACAAGGUCAGGGAAAUAUGAUUCAUGAAGAAACCCCGAACUGAGGCUGUUCAGCUCCUAGAAAUGAAGACUGCCAACAGACGUGGUCACAGUGUCCCCCUGCUGAAAAUCCUGGUACAAAAGAGCAAAGAGAUUCAUCCUCUGUAAACACAGAGAGUAGAAAAAAUUAAUUGUAGGCUUUAGCUGCAGAAAGGUGGAAUUAGGCUGGAUGUAGAAACUUUUUUUUCAGAGGUGGUUAUGGGAAGAUACUACAACUAUGACAGAGUGAGAUGUAAAGGGAGAUUAGACAGAAAUAGUUUUUCUACUUUGGGGAUGCAUUUGAAGUGUUUACACACCCUUUGACUCUAUUGUCUCCUAAGAACUCUUUCCAUUUCCCUUACCAGUAACUCAUUGCAUUUCUUCUCAUUCUAACACUUCCAAAUAAAGCUUUAUUGCCUUCCAUAAAAAUGCAUCUAUCAGUGUGCUGCUCCUUUCCUAUACUUCCACUUCCCUUUUGCAGUUUUAAUCUCUCAACUGGAGCUAUCCAUGAAGAUGUAAUCAAUAAAUGAAAAUAAAUUGAAAAAAUACAAUGUGAAGAGGUGAAUGGGAUUUUUGGUGGCCUGCCAGCUGGUCUUUGUAUUUCUAUUUACAAGUGUCUCAUAAUCAGCAACUUCCUGAUUUAUCUUGUAGUUAAACCCAAACUGAUGGUCCUGAACUUGCUGUCAAUGUUUUAGCAGAGCGCAUCUGAGUUUUGUAGUUGUAACUGCUUUAUUUUAUAUUUUCCUAAUAAGAAUAACAUUUUGCUUUCAUUUUUGCCCACAAGUUCCUUGGCUUUUACAGUGAUGAGGAGCUUGGAGACAAUUUUAUGCUUACAUUAUGGUAAUUCCAAAACUGUUUCAUGUAAACUAAAUAAACUCUCCUUACAGGUGGUACAGAAUAGGCAUCCUUCCCGGAGAGUGUCCUAGUGGGCCAGCUUCUUUUGGUUCUCUCUAAUUCCUUCCCUUUACUUUUUUUCAUCAUACUUUGCCUCUCACUCUCUAGUUUGAUGAAUUUUAUUCUUGGUGAUAAACCUGCUUCAAACAAAAGAUAAGAAAAUAUUCUGAAUAAGGGUUUGCAUGGUAGAUAAGGCAUUUUUUUUUUGAGGAGGGCUUUCAAUAGAAGAGGCAGAAGAUAGACUUCAGAUGCAGUGGGCUUCCCAUCACCAAGCUAUUGUAGAAAUGAGAAGGAAAACCACCUCUCCUUUUCCCUGGAAGGAAUGAACUCAUAUUAUGCUUUUGUUGGUGGUUUGUUUAUUUUUUGACCCAAAACUUGUGAUAAUAAAUCACAGCCAUAGAACUUUUAAGAACUAUAGCUGUAACAAGUACCUGUUAGGAGAAAUCAAGUCAAUGAUUAACUGUAACAGCACUCAGACAUUGCUGUCUCAGGUUCUGGGUGGAGGCCAAGUCAAUGAGUCUGUAACAUGCUGUAAUCUUGGAACAUACUGAACAACAUCUGGGGUUUGAAUAAAAAUGUAUUUAGUUACAUGCACACUUUCAAAUUCUUCUCGGUAGUGUAUUUAUCAUUACAGUUUUGUCCCAUUUCCCAGGGCUCAUGCUUCAUGCUCCCACUCGUUGCAUCCCAUGGCUGCAACCAGCACUAGUACACAAUUACAGUGCCAUCAUCCACAGGUUUGUCAGAUGUUGUUUGUCACCAUGAAGAGAGCUGUGGGCAGAACUGCCAAACAGAUG